GAGCUUGCUCCUUGAUUUAGCGGCGGACGGGUGAGUAAUGCCUAGGACUCUGCCUGGUAGUGGGGGAUAACGUUCCGAAAGGAACGCUAAUACCGCAUACGUCCUACGGGAGAAAGCAGGGGACCUUCGGGCCUUGCGCUAUCAGAUGAGCCUAGGUCGGAUUAGCUAGUUGGUGAGGUAAUGGCUCACCAAGGCGACGAUCCGUAACUGGUCUGAGAGGAUGAUCAGUCACACUGGAACUGAGACACGGCCCAGACUCCUACGGGAGGCAGCAGUGGGGAAUAUUGGACAAUGGGCGAAAGCCUGAUCCAGCCAUGCCGCGUGUGUGAAGAAGGUCUUCGGAUUGUAAAGCACUUUAAGUUGGGAGGAAGGGCAGUAAGCUAAUACCCUGCUGUUUUGACGUUACCUACCGAAUAAGCACCGGCUAACUU
rnacentral:rRNA from 1 species